rnacentral:siRNA from 1 species
GAUGGAGCUCCGUACGUAUUUUGC